rnacentral:lncRNA from 12 species
GGUGACAGUUUCAUAAUGGAUUAGAGAGAAAAGAUGUCCUGGAGAAACUGCUCUAAACUCUGAGGAGGGUCAUCACCUUUGCCUGAAUCGACCAGUGUACAGUUCUGUACCCAUGCCCGUUAUGACCGUCUUUGAUUUGUUGACCAAUGUGGCUUACGUCAUCCACUUAUGCUGUCUCUCCUGAGUGGUGAUGCUGUGGCUGUGACACUUGGUAACAAGAUCCUAAGCCAUGUUCGGAGACUCAUUCCUACUACAGUGGCCGUGGCUUGUGCCAGCGAACUGAACUCCUCAACCAUUAUAACAUCCAGUGUUAACAGUUAUUCCUCCCAUAUCCGUGGAGCAACCCUCAUCUGACUCUCAGCAGGCAAAUCCAGAAGGCCCCUGUCCAACAAAUGGGGAAGCUGUUGGACCUCCAGGUGAGCGUAUUAGAAUAGAGCUGGUGUGUGUGUGUGUGUGUGUGUGUGUGUGUACGUGUGUGUUGCAGGGAGAAGGGGCAUCUUAUACAAACAGAGCUGGAAUCGUCUUUUAUUUUUUCACUAUGCUAUAAUCACAGGAUACAUGUUCACCUGUUAUAAUGUCCAUGUUUAGUGACCUUUUCAAAUUGUAAUUUCACUGUUUCUUAACGAAAUUUCUGACUGGAGAAAGGCCUGUUGUAGCAAAUUAGAUGGAAUGCAAAGUAACCAAAAAAAAAAAAAAAAAAGGAAUGCAAAGUAACCGGAUUAAAAAUAAUUGAAUCAAACUGGGAAAUAUGUUCAAUAUCGAAGUUCUUAAAUGCAUGUCUCUUGUGUCACUAGAGGGAGCUCAGCACUUAAUUUGUAUUCUAGAAGAGUCCAGGGCGCUGGCAAAAACAUCACAAGGGCAGUUUGCAUCCUGUUGGGCUGUGUGUGAAGGGGCCUCUAAACAAACCAAUGCCAUUAUUUUUCUUGGAAAAUGAAAGUCACUGAAAGCCUUAGCUCUCAUGCUUUUCAUGGUAUUUGGGGCGAAUAGAAAUGCCUGUGUCUCUGCGGCGCCACUGUCAAAAUAACACAUGCGCUUCUUUGAAUGCACCCC